rnacentral:lncRNA from 1 species
GUAGCAUUUUGAUUUAAAUCAAAUCAAACCCUAGAAAACUAAAUCAUAAGCAAAAAAUGAAGAAAACACAAGAUGGUCACUUAGAAGUAUAAAUCUGGAGGCUCAGUUCAAUGCUGAGGUUUUAUGUGAGCACAUUGUUUCUUCUAUGUGAUGGUACUUAGUAUGGGAAUGAAGUUACACAAAACAACAGCAAUUUGUUCAGCUUGAGACCUAAUUCAUAACUUAAAACCAUAGUGAUAAAAAUUCUUUCCCCCUGUUUUAGAGAGGAACCUUAACCCCAAAGCAGCCUGCCUUAAGAGAAGGGAAGAAGAAAAAGUUUCUGCCGUAUCGGCAGAGCCGCCAACCACACUGCCAGGAACCCAUCCUGGGCUUAGUGAAACUACCAACCCUAUGGGUCAUAUGUAAACAUCAGCCAGUUCCAGAGUUAUCAGUAGGCUAGAUAGAAGGUGACCUCUCCUCAUAAGGACUUGGACAACUCAGAUUAUCUGAAGACACAAACCUGACAGGAGGGAGAAGAAAAAACAAAACACUUGAACCAAGAAACUCAAAUGUAAUCCUACGAUCAAAGCAACUGGUCAACACUUCCAUCAGAAGUGAAGAUAGGAAGCUCAUCAGAUAGAACAUCAGCCCAUGAGAUGUUUGCAACAAAUCUUUUGUUGCAAGCAGUGUGUCGCUUCUGCACAAUCAGAGACUGUCUCGAUCUCUCCACUCACCGUGGAAGUUGCCUUGUGCCUAAACUGAAUUGACAAAUGCAUUGUAACUACAAAUUUUAUUUAUUGUUAUGAAACUGUAAGGUCUACAUAUAAAGGGAAAAAGUUAAUGUGGAAAGCUGAUCUACACUCAGCUGAUGCCAGCAUACAUUAAAGCGGUUCACGUGCAGAGAACAAAGCAGUGACAACCAUUGGCCCUUAGCAUUCCCGGCAUACCUAUUAGUGUCUUAAAAAGGAAGGGAAAAGUCUUUUGUUGCCCUCUCCUAUCCUCUUGCCAUAUGAAUAGCGUUUUCCAUGAAAUAGGAAAAUAUUACUUGGUAUAGCAUUUCUCUUGCUCUCAUUUUUUGAUUUAUUUUUAUUUUCUCUUUGUGGGUGUUAUAUUUGAUCUCUAAAUCUGAACAGUUUAUGGUCACAGUCCAGCCUCCUCCGUGCAGCCCUGUGUGCUUUGCACAUUUACCUUACAGUGGUAAGCAGAGACCAUCUGUGACCAUAGCC